UCCCUGGUGGUCCAGUGGCUAAGACACUGUGCUUCCAGUGUAGGGAGCCUGGGUUCGAUCCCUAGUGAGGGAA
rnacentral:tRNA from 1 species